rnacentral:pre_miRNA from 1 species
ACAUAAGUCCCUUAGGUAUCUUGCAAAAAUGCAGAUUAUGACUCUGUACAUCUGAUAUUCUGCAUUUCUCACAAGCUUCCAGGCGAUGCCAAU